AUGCUUGCGUUGGCAGCACAUAUACUAAAACUGGAAUAAUACAGAGAAGAUUAGCACAGCCCCUAUGCAAAGAUGACACACAAAUUCAUGAAGGUUUCCAUAUUUUU
rnacentral:snRNA from 1 species